AAAGAAAAGAAAAGAAAAGAAAAGAAAAGAAAAGAAAAGAAAAGAAAAGAAAAGAAAAACCAAAAUCAAGUAGAGACGAAGAAUUAAGUCAGAAGUAGGAAGGGAAUAUGAGAGCCUAAAGUCAGAACAAGGCAUUUUUGACCCUCAUAUUUUACAUAUGGAAAAGCAGAAUCUGGAAUGGAUGUGCAGGAGCCAGCAAAAAUGUUUGGCCUACAUUGCUACACUAACCAAGAGACGAAUGGCUUUUUCCCAUUUUCUGAUUGGAGAUCUGUGAGAAGAUUUGAUCUUUGUGUUUUUCAAAGCAAUGGAGAUGAAUAUGAGACCCUAAAAUUUCAUGUAAUACUUUUGUCUUAUCUAAAUUGUGUUCUUUGCCUUCUGCUCUGAAAAAAAAGAAUUAGUUUUGCUUGUUAUUUCUUGCUGUUCUCACCUUGCUGUGACAAUAUUCACUUAUAUAACACUUAAAUUAUAUGAUCUUAUUGGCAUGUAUUUUCUAAAAACUGGAAAAUGUAUUUUUUGACAGAUUUCUGUUUAAAAAAACAAAAUCUCAAUAAAA